rnacentral:misc_RNA from 1 species
GAUGAAGAACGUAGCAAAAUGCGAUAAGUAAUGUGAAUUGCAGAAUUCAGUGAAUCAUCGAAUCUUUGAACGCACAUUGCGCCCGCUGGUAUUCCGGCGGGCAUGCCUGUUCGAGCGUCAUUUCAACCCUCAAGCCCCCGGGUUUGGUGUUGGGGAUCGGCUCUGCCCUUCUGGGCGGUGCCGCCCCCGAAAUACAUUGGCGGUCUCGCUGCAGCCUCCAUUGCGUAGUAGCUAACACCUCGCAACUGGAACGCGGCGCGGCCAUGCCGUAAAACCCCAACUUCUGAAUGUUGACCUCGGAUCAGGUAGGAAUACCCGCUGAACUUAACCAUAUCAAUAAGCGGAGGA